AGCAGCCGCGGUAAUUCCAGCUCCAAUAGCGUAUAUUAAAGUUGUUGCAGUUAAAAAGCUCGUAGUUGAAUUUCGGGGUUAGCAAGUUGGUCGUGCCACUGGUAUGCACUGGCUUUGCUGAUUCCUCCUUCUUGAAGAACUGUAAUGCUAUUAAUUUAGUGUUGCAGGGAAACAGGACUGUUACUUUGAAAAAAUUAGAGUGUUUAAAGCAGGCUAACGCUUGAAUACAUUAGCAUGGAAUAAUGAAAUAGGACGUUUGAUCCUAUUUUGUUGGUUUCUAGGAUUGACGUAAUGAUUAAUAGGGAUAGUUGGGGGCAUUAGUAUUCAAUUGUCAGAGGUGAAAUUCUUGGAUUUAUUGAAGACUAACUACUGCGAAAGCAUUUGCCAAGGAUGUUUUCAUUAAUCAAGAACGAAAGUUAGGGGAUCGAAGACGAUCAGAUACCGUCGUAGUCUUAACCAUAAACUAUG
rnacentral:rRNA from 1 species